rnacentral:rRNA from 1 species
GACGAACGCUGGCGGCGUGCUUAACACAUGCAAGUCGAACGGAAAGGCCCUGCUUGCGGGGUACUCGCGUGGCGAAAGGGGGAGUGAAACGUGGGUGAAAUGCGCUGCACUUCGGGGUAAACCUUGGGGAAAGGGGCUCAUAUCGGAUAUAAGCUUCCAUGUUGCGUGGGGGGUGGUGAGAUUUAUCGGUGGGGGAUGAGCCCGCGGCUUAUCAGCUUGUUGGUGGGGUAGUGGCCUACCAAGGCGUCGACGGGUAGCCGGCCUGAGAGGGUGGCCGGCCACAUUGGGACUGAGAUACGGCCCAGACUCCUACGGGAGGCAGCAGUGGGGAAUAUUGCACAAUGGGCGGAAGCCUGAUGCAGCGACGCCGCGUGGGGGAUGACGGCCUUCGGGUUGUAAACCUCUUUCGACAGGGACGAAGCGUCGGUGACGGUACCUGGAUAAGAAGCACCGGCUAACUACGUG